rnacentral:rRNA from 1 species
UACGUAGGCAGCGAGCGUUGUUCGGAGUUACUGGGCGUAAAGGGUGUGUAGGCGGUUGUUUAAGUUUGGUGUGAAAUCUCCCGGCUCAACUGGGAGGGUGCGCCGAAUACUGAAUGACUAGAGUGUGGGAGAGGUGAGUGGAAUUCCUGGUGUAGCGGUGAAAUGCGUAGAUAUCAGGAGGAACACCGGUGGUGUAGACGGCUCACUGGACCAUAACUGACGCUGAGACACGAAAGCUAGGGGAGCAAACAGG